rnacentral:lncRNA from 1 species
UGUUAUAAAUUUCUGUUGUAGCUGAAAAAAAAAAAAAAAAAAAAAUGUAGGAAAAAAAAAAGGGAAAAAAAAAAAAGCGAAAAAAAAAAAAAAAAAGAAGGGAAAAAAAAAGGGAAAAAAAAAAAAAAAGGGGUAGAACAGGAUAAGGCAUAAUUUAUUCUCUUUUUAAAAUUACUAUGAAAUAAUAAAGUUGAUACAUUUUAUUUACACAUAGUUGAACGUCGUAAUGUGCAAGUUGUGGUCUCUUUUCAUUUUUACAAUUGUGAAUUAUUAACUAUAUUUUUUUUAUGACACAUAAAAAUACGAUACUAUUCUCACGAUUUGUUAAUUUUAUUUGUACAUCCUUUUAUUAAUGCAUACUUUUGUUAGUAUAUUAUUUUUGUCCCCACUAUAAGAACAAUUAAUUAUUUUAUUUUAUUUUUUUUUUUUUUUUGUUUUAUACAUUAAUAAGUCAUUAUUUAAAAAAAAAAAAAAAAGUAAAACCACAAUAUUGUUUAACUAAACCUUGAAAUUAGCACCAGUAUUAUAUAUUAAGUUUGACGUUUGUUUUGUCUGAUGAUUGUUUUGACCUGAUAAGCUAUAAAGAAUAACAUAGUAAGAUAUAAAAUACCAGUUUUAACAUACUGUCAUGCAUUUAUGUGCCUAUAUAUACAUUCAUGGAUUCAUACAUUCAUACAUUUAUGCAUUUAUAUAUAAAACCGCUGUCUCACAUAUAUAAAUAUAUUUAUGUAUACGUGUCGGUCCAAUUACCACUGUUUAAAAUAAAAAGUAAGAAAUAAAAAAAAAAAAAAAAUGGAUGACACAAACGAAAGUAUUUCAAAUGAUAAAGGGCUAAAUAUGAAGAUUAUCCAGUUUAUAUUAAAAAAGUCAGAAGAGUUAGAGAAAGAACAUUUGUUAGUUUCAUUUCUAUGCACACUCUACAUUGUCGAGCAGUUAAGCGAGUAUAUGAAAAAAGAGCAAGGUAGAUACAGAGACGAAACAAAUUUUAAUAAAAUGUUUAGAUAA